rnacentral:rRNA from 1 species
ACAGCAGCAGCCGCGGGAAUACGUAGGUGGCAAGCGUUGUCCGGAAUUAUUGGGCGUAAAGGGCUCGCAGGCGGUUUCUUAAGUCUGAUGUGAAAGCCACCGGCUCAACCGGGGAGGGUCAUUGGAAACUGGGAAACUUGAGUGCAGAAGAGGAGAGUGGAAUUCCACGUGUAGCGGUGAAAUGCGUAGAGAUGUGGAGGAACACCAGUGGCGAAGGCGACUCUCUGGUCUGUAACUGACGCUGAGGAGCGAAAGCGUGGGGAGCGAACAGGAUUAGAUACCCGCGUAGUCCCUGUCUCUUAUAC